rnacentral:tRNA from 1 species
GCGCCGGUGGUGUAAGGCGAACAUCGCUGCCCGGAAAGCAGAAGAUGCGGGUUCGAAUCCUGCCUGGCGCA